rnacentral:lncRNA from 10 species
CGGGGAGCCCAUAGUAGCCCAUCAGCGAAGUGCGAGAAGUUAGUGGGACAGGCUAAGUCACAGAUGAGAAGGCAGUAGAGGCAGGAAAAAUGCCCUCCAUUCUCCAAUAUGGACAGAAGUAUUGCAGGAAGCUGGAGGCCUUGUAUAAAAUGCAUUCUUUGCUUUGCAUGGUCCUCAACCCUCUUUUCUUCUUUUCUGAGCUGAGAACACUGUCAUUUUAUGAAAAGAAUAACAAAGAUGCAUAUAUGCCUAUAAAUGGAAGAUGAAGUGGUGACUGAGGGCUUCCUCCUGCCAAGGAAAACAAGUGCAAGGCAGCUGGAGAGAGAGGAGCCACGGAAGUCUACAGAACCAGAAGCGCUCCAUCUCCCUGGGACCUGGCUCUGGUCUGUGCAGGCUUGGCCGUCUGGGAACGGCAGCUCCAUGGUCCUGCGGGAGAGACCUGCCAGGAACCUUGGGGCCACAAAUCAGGAGUUGCUGGGAGCUGAAUGCUGCAAUUUGCCAUGGGAAAAGAAAGAGACAAUUGGAGGCUGGUGGCCCAGAGAAACCACUGCUGAAUUUGAGAGACAUCGACUGAAAGAUUGCUGUGUGUGAGGCAUGGAACCAUGGGGCAGAAUAAGCAAGGCUGGCAUGCUUUCUGUCCUUGAAGACCUAGAGUCAAUGGGGAGGAGACCUGUGAAAGUGAGAGUAAGACACAUACAGAUGUGACUGCACCUUCCGAAGCAUCAGCUCUGCUUUGAAUCCGGAAGAACUAGGUUUCUGAGCCGCAGGGGGCUCGCUCAGUUUAAGGAAGUGACAUUGGAGAAGUUGUGAAGGAAGGGCAGGAUUUAGACAAGGGGAGACGGGGCCAUAGGAGGGCAAGUGACUGAUGUGACCCGGUAUGGAGGCAGGGAGAAAAUGGCACCUUUUGGUGGGGGGAUGAGGAGGAGCAAGGGAUCCAAUUUGACAGGUUGGGCAAAAAUGUGACAAAAAAUGUGUAAGUGCACAACUUGGUAGAGUGCUCUUGAAACCAGGCUGGGCAAUCUGUGCCUGGUUCUGGAAGCAACGGAAACUCACUGAAGGGGUGGGAGGCUAGAGAGCAUGUGACCAGCACUGGAGCCCAGGCUCUAGGAUAACUUAUGGGCAGCAAGUGAAGAUGGACUGGAACAGAAAGAAAGAAGACUCCUUAUGGCUGUCAGCCCUUGGAAAGAAGGAAACCUAAGGCUUUUGUGCGACUUAAAAAACAAAAAAAAUCUAGCCAGGUAUGGUGACUCACACCUGUAAUCCCAGCACUUUUGGAGGCCAAGGGAGGCUGAUUGCUUGAGGCCAAGAGUUUGAGAUGAGCCUGGGCAACACAGGAAGACCCCAUCUCUACAAAAGCUAGAAAAAUUAGCCACGUGUGGUGGCGUGCACUGGUAGUCCCAGCUACCCGGGAGGCUGAGGUGAGAGGAUCACUUGAACCCAGGGAGGUCGAGGCUGCCGUGAGCCAUGAUUGUGCCACUGCACUCCAGCCUGGGUGACAGAGAGAGACCCCAUUUCAAAGUAAUAAUAAUAAUAAAUAAAUAAUCAAAAUUCCCUACCACAAUUUACCUAUGAGGACACCACUCUGCCCAUCCUUCCUGCCUCAUCUUGUGCCACCUUCCUGUGCUCCAGCAGCACUGGCUGGCUUUCUGGUCCUCUGACACACCAAGCCUUUUUGAUCUCAAAGCCUUAGCUUGUCUCCAAGAUGGUCACCAUCCCUUCCCUCCUUGACGACACCAGCCAUUUUCCCUUUGAGAAGGAGAGUCUAAUUCUCCAUGUCCUACAGUCUGGACUGUGACUUCCUUGAUCAACAGGAUACUGCAGAAGUGAUACUAGCCCAGCCUAGGUCUAGUCUUUAAAAAGACAAGUGGUUUCCUCUUCCUUGCUCACUCUGGACAAAGCCAGGCUCCACAGAAGAAAUUCAACCAUCCCGAGCCCUCCAUGCCAUUAGAAAGCCCAAACUAGCCAUGUGGAGAAGCUACAUGGAGAGAGAGCGUUGAUAGCAACCUCCACCUAUUCCAGCCAGCCUAACCCAAAGGCCAGGCAAGGGAGUGAAGGGACUAUCUUGAAUAUCCAUUCAGCCAAGUCCAGCCUUCUGAUGACUCCAGCCCCAGCAGCUGUCUGACUACCACUGCGUGAGAGACUCCGGUGGGAAUUGACACCCAGCAGAGGCCAAUCAAUCCACAGCUAGGAGAUGCAUGGAAUCCAAUGCUCUUUCCACUGAAGUGGAAAGUAGGCUGCUAACAACCUCCCCAGAAUCCUUGUAAGUAACUCCUCCCCAGGGGAGAACACACAUCUACAACUUGAGCCUGGAAUUCAGGUCAGCUUGGUAUCAACACUCAUCCAGGGUCUCCCCAUGGCCAGUAUGGCUUUUGUCCCCCUUAGAUAUGCUGGAGGAGGAGUCAUCUAAGUUUGUUUUUCCUCUCUAGUCUUCUGAUCAGCUAGGAGGAUCCAAGGUUCCAACUGAGUUCUCUUGCUUCACCUUGGGCAAGAGGAGAAAAAACAGUCACUUGUACACCUAACCACAAACCCCUGACCCUCUUCAAGGCAGAGGAAAGUAACUUUCCAAACUCUUCUUGAAUAAGAAGAAAAGAACCUCUCCUCUUUCAACAGGUAUUUCUGGCUGCUGGGGAGGGUGUUAUUAAUACAAGAAUCUAAACACAAUAGCCUGUCUCCUGGCAGCUGCCAUUCCCAUGGCAACCUCUGACUUUCACGGACUCCUUUGGAUACUAAGGGCCUCAGAGACAGACUUCUAAAACAACCAAAUUUUUCAAAAGUGAAUUCUCAGGGAACUUAUUCCUCUGUCAGAACAGACCCCUCCUAAACUUCCAUUUAAAGAGAAAACCUAAAAUCUGCUGUUUUAAAAAAAAAAUAACAGAAACCCCCAUUAAGUGCUGUUAUCACACCAACCCUCAAAGCUAUGGAAAUGGACAAUAUAGAAUUUAAAUUUCACAGGUGAAAAAAAAAGUGUACUAAGUGUGAGUUGAGGAUGGGAGAUGGAGAUCUGGUGGACUACCAGCAAAUGGAGAUAGCCAUGAAGAGGCAUAUUUGGGAAGGUAGUUCACAAACCUGAACCAGAAGAGACUCACCUGGAGAACAUGUUCAAAUACCGAUUCCCAGGCCCUGUCCCCAGGGAUUCUGAUUCUGUAGGUCUGGAAUGAAACCUGGAUCACUUUUGAAAGCUCUUCCAGUGUCCAGAUGAACAUUCAAAUUGGGAAACCAGCAAUC